rnacentral:lncRNA from 1 species
UCUGUGAUGUCCCCUGAGGUUUCUUAGAACUCACAAUGACUGUUUCAUAUUUGUACAACACCCUGGAGUCUCAGACAACACAUGAUCUCUACCUGCCACUUGCCUAAUUCUGUUGACAGAAACUGCUUUCAAUAUGACUGUUGAAAUUUAAAGUGUAAGCUGCUAUAUGAAGGGAUCCACAAGACGAAUAAUUAAGGGGGACCUCUGAUCAACAGCCAGCAAGGAACUGAAUCCCUCAGACCCACAACUCACAAGAAACUGAAGCUGAAGCAGAUUCUUCCUCAGUCAAGCUUCAGGUGCCCAGCUGUAUUGGUAGAGGAGACCAACCACACCCUCCACAGCACAGCACCUGGAGAGGAACUGCUGCCAUGACCAUAGAGGACACCCUCUGGAUACAAUGCCAGACUUGAUGUGGGACUGACCAACCUAUGGACCCCAGGCACCACCACCCAGACCUGCUCAGCACCUGAAACAUUCACAGCCGUGGAGAGAGAACUGUUCACUGCUACCAUCCACACUUCUGGGCCCCUUCAGCAGCAGGGUGACAAGGAAGAGGGAAAUCGACUUGGAAAAGAGGGGACCUCUGACCCAAGAGUUCGGUCAAUGCAUAUGUUGGCAGCCAGCUGCACAUCGCACCAAAUAUGAACUUCAAAUAGAAGAAAGCCUCAUUUGGAAGAAAGCUCAUGCACAGACUGUAAAUAUUUCAGAGCAGAUUGUGUCUCUGUAGAUUAACAAACAGUUUAUUUUUCCAGUAUGACAAUGUUGUGACAAGAUCAGAAGCCAGCUUUCUCACCAUUAAAUCAAAGUCUUAUCAAUAUAUGGAGACUUUUAUGGAAAGAAACCUGAAAUUACGCAGAAAUGCCUUCCGCAAGAAGUGGCUAGUAUGGUGGCUUCAAGAACAGUGACAUUUUUCAGUAUGUCCGUUGUUCUAAGACGUUAGUACAUCACAAUUACCUAGAAAACUUGUUAAAACACAGAAGUCUGGGCUCCCCCUCUUGGCCAACCCCCAUUCCCAGAGGGUUUCUGUUUCCAUGGGUCUGAAAUACCACCUAACGAUUGGCAUUUCUAACAAAUUUCUGCAUGAAGCUGCUGGUCUGAGGACCACACUUUGACAACCAGUGCACUACAUUAAGCUAUCUGGAGAAGCUGCAAAUGCAGAUGAAGAAGCUACAAAUUUUUCUAUGUCAACAAAAAUUGACUGAUGAGGGUGACCUUCGGAUCAUGUUUUUAAUGUUUAUGAAACUGGUCUCAUUAUCAGAAGUAAAUGGCUUCAAGAACUUCAGCCUGAGGAAGAAAACAUGAGUCCUAGGCAUAUCAGGCUACAACCAUGUUUGGAAUGAAUCUAGGUGCAAAUCUCAGUGGAGAAUUAACUGUACCAAUAUUUUAAUUAGGAUUACUAAUGUUUUGUUACUUCCUGAUUACAAGGUUCUAUAGGUUUUGAAUGAUCCACUGUAAUCCUGUUUCUUUUCCAUAAGUCGUGUAGUUUUUAGCAUGUAAUUAUGCAGACCAUAAGGUUUUUCAGGAAUACUAAUAUGGCAUUAGAUUAGAAAUGCUAUAUUAAAAAUUCUUAUUAAAUCUACUGAUAGUAACCAAAAAAUAGAAGAUUCAGAAGAACUAGCAAAUGUGGAGAGAACGGAUGAAAUGGAAGCAGUGUGAACCUAGUGAAUACUUGCCAAGCUGUAUCUCCCCUGAAUUUGUCAAAACAUCAUCUCCAGCAUCUGAGCUAGACCAACCCUCAGUGCUAACAUUGAUGUGAUUAAAGAGUCUGAACUGGGAGCAGAAUUCCUUCAGGUAUUUUGUUAAUAAAAUAAAGCUCUCCAUCUCUCCUUAAAUUAAACAA